rnacentral:tRNA from 1 species
GGGUUGUUAGCUCAGUUGGUAGAGCAGCUGACUCUUAAUCAGCGGGUCGCAGGUUCGAUCCCUGCACAGCCCACCA